CGCUGCUCAUUCACUUGUUUAUGAAUGCCACCGCGCUGCGGUCAGAGCUCAUAAAGCCCGAAUGACGCACCAAACGGAGCCUGCCGUCCACCACACCGAUAAUCGUAUGCAUUGCAUCGUUAUCAAGCAUCGGACGUAACGUUGAGUUAGGCUCCACCCAUUCUCACGCGUGGCUAAGGCGGCGCGUCUGCGGCAGGCCAGAUGGUCUGCCGUUUU
rnacentral:sRNA from 1 species